UACGAAGGGGGCUAGCGUUGCUCGGAAUCACUGGGCGUAAAGCGCACGUAGGCGGAUUGCUAAGUCAGGGGUGAAAUCCUGGAGCUCAACUCCAGAACUGCCUUUGAUACUGGCGAUCUUGAGUCCGGGGGAGGUGAGUGGAACUCCGAGUGUAGAGGUGAAAUUCGUAGAUAUUAGGAAGAACACCGGUGGCGAAGGCGGCCCACUGGAUCGGUACUGACGCUGAGGUGCGAAAGCGUGGGGAGCAAACAGG
rnacentral:rRNA from 1 species